GAUGAACGCUAGCUACAGGCUUAACACAUGCAAGUCGAGGGACCGGCGCACGGUUGAGUAACACGUAUCCAACCUGCCCUUUACUCGGGGAUAGCCUUUCGAAAGUAAGAUUAAUACCCGAUAUAAAGGCUGGGGAUGCGUUCCAUUAGGUUGUUGGUGAGGUAACGGCUCGCCAAGCCUUCGAUGGAUAGGGGUUCUGCGAGUAAGGUCCCCCACAUUUGAAAUGAGACACGGUCCAAACGCCUACGGGAGGCAGCAGUGAGGAAUAUUGGUCAAGCGGCGCUAGCCUGAACCUGCCAAGUAGCGUGAAGGAUGAAGGGUUAUGGGUCGUAAACUACUUUUAUAGAAGAAUAUGUAUUAUAUGAAUAAGGAUCGGCUAACUCCGUGUCAGCAGCCGCGGUAAUAC
rnacentral:rRNA from 1 species